UUUAUAAUUUUUUUUGCGCGUCGUGGCAAAGAUAACGCACGUGCGCGAUAUAUAUUAAACCCGUUUUCUUAUUUUCGACGUUGUGGACAUGAUUUAGCACGCUGCUCAUUAUUCACGCGUGCCGGGGGGGGGGGCGUUGUGGCGCGAAAAGGUCGUUCUCGGAGUGGUGGAAAAUACGCGUCGCUGCGUCAGAGAGGGUGGGGUGGAAACCAUGGUAAACUCGUCUCCGUAGUUGAGCGGGAGAGUAAGUAGGACAGUGCAUUAUCCAUUAUUAGGCAACGGUUGUAAUGGUAGUAAGAAAGUGCAAUUGUCUUUGUAGUGGACCUGUGAGGGGCGAGCAUAAGGGACGAAGGCGGGAGUAACAUGUC
rnacentral:misc_RNA from 1 species